UUUACAAAUGUUCAACCAAGAAAAUUUUGCAUUCAGCCUCCAACAUUGCAGACAUGUUUCCAAACAUACCAAAUUUCAGCUUGUAAACUAUGUCAGAAUAUUAUCAAAUCCGUUGAAAUAAAUGAGUCAAACCUUGGCCAAACAGUUGAUUUAUUCAAAUUUAUUGAAAAGCAUAAAGGAAUCACUGAGCGUUGGUUUUAUCAGUUGUUUAAAAAUACCAAUUCACCAGUCUUUUUCCAAUCAAAAGAUAGACUGCUCCUUCAAAAAAUUAAUAAAAAAAGGCAUCCUCUUAUAUUCAUUCAUGAUGGUUGUUCUUUGGUACAUACUAUUUAUGUUUAUAUUUAUAUUGCAGCAAUUCUUGAU
rnacentral:lncRNA from 1 species